AAAUUUGAAAUCUAACAUUGAAUUCGAAAAAUCGACUGUCCUUAGCGCAAGCGGUAAAAUUUGAAAUCUAAAAUUUUGUAGAAAUAUAUUUGAUGUUAUUGAAUGGGUAAGACUAAAAUUUUUUUUUUUUUAGAGAGAUAGAUAGUAUGCUGCCCGCUUUGUUUAUUUUAUUUAAUAGUAACUUAUUAAAAAUAUAAAUCAACUAGAAUUCGAACUCAAGAUCUCAGGUAUCAACUAUCAAAUUUUUUACCACUUACGCUAGGGACGGUCGGUUAUUAAGAUUUUUUUCUAGAUUGAUAGAUAACAUGCUACCUGUUUUGUUCAUUUUAUUUAGAAGUAACUUAGGUAAAAUUAUAAAUCAAUUAAAAUUAAAAUUCAAAAUCUUAGAUAUCAAACAUCAAAUUCUUUACAACUUACGCUAGGGAUAGUCAAUUACUAAGAUUUAUACUCAACCUGCUAUUUCCGGCUGUACAAGGUCGGAUUGCUCGUCUGCCGCCGGCGGGGGACCCUCGGUGGGUCCCUGGAAAUCUCUCCUGCGGUCUGUCUGUGGUUUUAGAAGGCCCAGCCAAAAGACCUCCCUCCUCGUCAGCCGCCUUUUUCUUUUUUCUUUUUUUUAUGUAUAUAUAUAUUUUCUCCUCCUAUUAAUUAAUUAAUUAAUUAAUAACGAAAUGGGGGAGGAGAAGACAAGGAAAGAAAGAGAUGGCGCGGGGGAUCGAAGAAGGUGAUAUGAGCCUCCGGCGGAGGCCGAUGACGGCGCACGCGCACGCGCUCGCCGCGCACGCCCUCCUCCUCUGCUUCUCCCUCCUCCUCGCUCUCAAACUCGACCGUCGAUUCUCCCACUCUUGGUGGUGCGUUCUCGUUUCUUCUUUUCUUUCAUGUUUUUUUUUUUUUUUUUUUCCUAGUGUUUUCUAGUUUUUUAAGUAAAUGAAUGAGAAAGAUUAAAAAGAAAAAAAAAAAGAACGAUGGAAAAGAUGUAACGCGACAACUACACGAAGUCGUAUUAUAUCCGACCCUGGAACAACACGAAGUCAUACAUUGAUGUUUCGUUGUCGCACUCGAUUGACAUUUAGAUGAAGGAUUCAGACUCGGAUUUUGUGUUCUUACUGAAUAAAAUUAGACUCCAAAGUUUCGGAUGCUUGAAUGUUACGCAUAAACACUAAACACUCGAUAUUACGCUAAUCCAAAGGGAUAAGGUUUGAUGAUAAAUUCCCGCAAUUUGGAAUCUGAAUAUAUAUGGAAGAGCAUUUGCAUUGGAAACUUUUAUUGUUCCUUUUUUUUUUUUUUUCUGUAAGUUGCUUCCCGAUCAUGCAGGAUUGUUUUCAUUCCCCUGUGGUUGUUCCACGCUGUUGUUUCUCGCAGUAGAUUCUCUUUACCUGCUCCGUUAUCGCCUCACAACCACCAUGUAAGUUUGGCGACUAUUGUAGUAGAUUAGGCUUUUGAUUUCUUAGUAGUCAUUUUAUAUCGAUGGUAAUAUUUAGAUUUAAUCACUCUUUUGCCGUGCAGUGGGCGCCUUGUCAUUCUAUUGUUGCUACACCAUUGCUUGUGGCAUUCGAGCUACUUCUGUGUGUUUAUCUUCAGAGCGUCGAUGGUAAAUGUCAAGAAUAUUUUGAAGUCUCUGUAAUUAUGUUUCGAUAUUGGACUUUCUAUAGUUAAUUCUUUAAUUACACUUCAUAUAUGCAGAUCAUGGAGAACCUGUUGUGAGCUUGAAACUUGUGUUUCUUCCACUGUUGGCAUUUGAAUUAACAAUUUUUAUUGAUAAUAUCAGGUAGUAUGUUUUUUGGGAGAUAAGAGUUAAAAUGUGCGCUUCAACGUGCACUUUGGUUAGCUAUUGUUCAUUGCCAUUGGGUACGUUCUGUUUUAACUUUAUUCUUUUACCAUCUAGGAUGUGUAGUGCUUUGAUGCCUGUAAAUGACGAAACUGCAAGUGACAGGGCUAUUUGGAAGAGACUUCCUGUAAGCUUGUUUCUUCCUUAUUUACUUUUUGUCUCAUUAUUAACAUUCUCUUGUUCGUGUUUAUUUAUGUUAAUUGCGACAUUGCUUUCCCUUGAUGCACGUUAUGUUACAGUAGUUAACUUUUUUCUCGAGAUUUUGAUGAUAUUGGAGCCCUUCCAGAUGCGGCGGUGGGGCGUCAUCUAAGUUUUAGCCCGUGCAUUCAUCCUUACAUCCACUUGCUGUUGUUUAUUGUGAGGUGAUACCAUGGCCAAUAGAUAGAACUCUGCUUGAAUAGUACCGUGCAAUGACUUAACAACUGCUCAAUGGAUAGCACUUUGCUUCAGAUUUUCUGGUGAUUGCAGAAUCGGAUUCUAGCAUUUCCCAGGACUUUGCCUUCGCAUUGGGGUCUUUCUUUCUUAUGUAUUAUCUUUUACUUAACGAAAUAUGUACCCUUCAACUGCAGACGAAAAAUAAUCAUUUUAGUUGGCAGGAGUCAACCCUCUCCCACUGAAUGGAUUUGGAGCAAAACUGUAGGAGAAGGCUUUUUUUUUUUUCUAUGGUUUCUCUUUGAAGUUUUUAUUGAUCCUCUAGUAUAGAAAUGUAAAGCAACAUUGCCUUCUUUGCUUGGAUAUCUCAGCAUUUUUUUUAAUUUUGUUAUGUUAUCUUUUUCUGUUAGUUUGCUUUACUGCUGAAUGAAAGUAUUAUGUAUGUUAAGAAGGAACAUUGAAAGCUACUAGAAAAUUGUGAUUUAUUAAUAAGGUCGCUAAACUUAUGCUGCAUGAAGCAUUAUCUAAGUUGUUAGUCAAACUAUCUUUUUACUCCUGAAAAAAAGUGCAACCAGAAAAUAUUCGUUCUACAGUACAUCAUGAAGGAAUUUUAAUGUGCAUAUACAAUCCUCUUUUAAUAAUUGUCUCUUGGGACUUAUAAAUUUCCAAUAAUUCUUUGUUAGCACUUCUGGGUUGCAAUCUCCAUGGUGUUUCUUGUAGCAGCUACCUUGUUCACACUCCUCAAGUUGAGCGGUAAACCUUGACCUCAAUCUAGUUUAUUAUUAUUAGUUUUCCUUUACUGUAGCAUUAAGAACUUCUUUCGGAACAACUCUGAUCUUUACCUUCUCAUAAAUAAAUCUUCUUUGUUCUUAUUAAAGUUCUUCUCAUAGUACUGAGUUUUGUAGUUAUCUGCUGGAGAUAACCGAGUGGAUAGUUCAAUAACUUAACUAUUUAAGUGAACAAGGAAAAAUCUUGAUGGUGCUCAUACUAUUGAAGGGAAAUUAUACAGAGACAUAAAUGACAUGAACAUUCUCUACGGUACAUGCUAACUUGUCUGUUUAUAAUUUGUACAACUUAUUUCAAUAUUUUAAAAUCUGUAGUAACUAUGUACUAGCCAACCUACUAGUAUUGGUUACUUCACAGUGCAAAUAUGGGCCUUAAAUGCUCAGACGCAAAUUUUCUACUGAUAUAACAUACUAUGUAAUCCUGAUUCUUUCGUACUAUUUUGCUGCUUAAUUAUUACCUAUAAAAUCUCAGAGGCUUAGGCACAAAGAGAUGGUUCCUGAUAUCUUGGACUCUGUGUAGUUGAUGACUGUGACUAUUUAUCUUAUAUAUUAAUUUCAUACAUCAAGAGCUAGCUUUUAGUUGCACUAGAACAACAUCACUUAUCUAGUAUGAACUGAGUUUACUAAUAAAAGUUUCUAAUAUGAUGCAGGAGAUAUAGGUGGCUUAAGCUGGUGGGAUUUAUUUAUAAAUUUUGGGUAAUAUUUCUUCUUUUUUUUAAAAAAAAAAAGGAAUCUUCUGUCGUUUUGAUCCUACUAAUUUUAUGUAACAAUAUUUUGGUACUUCUUUUCUAUGUUUUGACAGAAUUGCAGAAUGUUUUGCGUUUCUUGUCUGUACAAAGUGGUCUAACCCUCUGAUCGGUAGACAACCAUCUCAUUUUGCAACGACUUCAUUUACACUUCCCAGAUAUAGUAGGUGGUACUGUGGCUCAUCAUCUUCCUCUUUGGAGGAUUAUGAUGAGGAUAGAUUUUGUGGUCUGCAGGAUAUUGGAAGCUAUGUUAUGAAAGUUCCUCUUCUAAUUUUUCAGGUUCUCUUAUGUAUGCGCUUAGAGGUACGGGUGUUUUGGAAUACUUAUAUUUAAAUGUUUAUGCCCCAAAUGUAUGCAAGUAUUUAUUGUCUCAUCUACUGCUUUUUUCCUUUUCUUCAGCGGACACCUCCUGGUGCACAAUUCAUCCCAAUUUUUGCUCUUUAUUUGCCGAUAUUUCUUCUGCAAGUAACUGGUAUCUUUGUUGCUCUCUGGAGAUUACUUGAGAAGCUUGUUCUCUUAGUACGUAGUGGACCAAUCAACGAAAGAUAUGUUGCAAUCUCAUCAAAAAUUUAUGAUUUCUUUACAUUGGUGCAUCAUGGUUCAAGGUUGUAAUUUGAAUACAUCAUCAUAUACUGUUCGUGUACUCUCUAUUUAUACUUUCAAUUUUGAGAAUCAUCAUAAUAAUUCCCUUCCUUUUCUUUGGCACAAUUCAACAGACUUCUCAGUUGGUGGUCUAUUGAUGAAAGAAGUAAUGAGGAAAAAGCUCGCCUGUAUCAUGCUGGAACUACCGGGUACAGCACUUUCAGUGGCUUGUAUCGUCUCUUAGAAAUAGAAAAAAGACAAGUUAUCUCAAUUUCGUUUUUAUUGAUUGUGCAAUAUCAUCUAUAGAUACAAUACUUUCAGUGGCUAUGCACCAGAAAUGCUAAAGAAGAUGCCUAAGAAAGUUCUAAUAAAAGAGGUGCACUUCUACGACUAUUUUACUAAUUUGACCACAAAUCUCCAUAAUGUUCCUCAGCAUAUUGUCAACAUUAAUUGUCUGCGCCCCGUGAUGUAUUAUUCAUCGCAGUAUUUUUUUUUUUUACUCUGUGUUUUUUUUAAUGUUAGGUUUCAAGACUGCAAGUUGUUCUGGGAGAACAAACUGAAAUUGCCAAGAAUACCCAAGAAGAGUAUGAAAGACUUCAAAAUGUAAGAUACUUCUGGUUUAAUUACAAAAUUAUGACAAUAGAAUAGUUUGUACAGGGUGCAUUACAAAGUAUCUGAAGUCAUACGAUCCUAUUAGUGUUUAAUUGAAGCAUGUAGCACUAGUUGUUCUGCACUUUUCUAUUUCUGCCAAGUAACUUACAAUAUUUAAGUUAUCUAGGAUUACUAUCGCGUCAAAUUGGAGCCUAUUUUCUUCAUCCAGGGCCAUUUAGUUACAUCAUAUGUCAUCUAUUUUCCCAGAGUGAAGAUAAUUAGUCCCCAGUGGUGUUUCUAUCACACUGGACCUGCUUACCGGAAGCUGUAAAUUUAGCUAAUUACUUUCACGCAUAUACGGACUUCACCUCUUUUGAUAUCUCAUCACAAACUGUAAAUGGAUAUGUGCCUGCUCAUGCCAACCAGCACGGGUUGCACUGGCACAGCCAAUCAAAGUUGUUUUUCUAUUAAAUCAAGUAUGCGACAAUUUCUAUUGAAGCUAUCGAUUUUUUCUCACUUGCGAGUAUUUAUUUUUGUAUUCGUUCUCUUUUUGGUUGGUAACUGAGACGGAACACCGAAAAUAUCUAGCGUAAACCUUCUGUUUCAUGUUGUUAAUCAUCAUGCAGAAAUGGAACUUACAAAAUUCUGGUUGCAAUUAAACAGGAAAGAGUCUUGUGCAGGAUUUGCUUUGAGAAAGACGUACGCAUAGUCUUACUUCCUUGCCGGCAUUGUACUCUUUGCCAGUAAGCUUUCUUUAUUCAUAUACUUUUUAUCCAAUAUCCGACUGUUUCGAGAUAAAUUAGAGCAUCUCGACAUAGAUUUAAGCUUAUUUAUUAAAUAUACCUUGUCGUUUUCAGUGUUGUUACUUUUAAAUUGGAAGAUCUCUAACUCGAGCUUAUGUCUCGCUGAUAUAGACCCUGUUCAGCAAGGUGUCAGACGUGUCCAAUUUGCCGUGUGCCUAUUAUGAAGCGGAUAACUAUAAAUGAUCGAGAAAAGCUGAAUCAUGCAUCAGACCAAGAUCAUUAUGUGGAUUUGAAGAGUAUCAUGCAUGCGAAUUUUGUCUAAUUUGGCUUAUUGGGUUCUCUGUUUUUGGGAGGUAAAUAAUAUUGGCUGGCUGUGCUGAAGCCAUCAAGCUUUUUUUUUUUUUUUUUUUUUUUUUUUUCUCACAUUGUGGGUGUUACAGCUAUUUAUUUUGAUUUACUUCUAUUGUUUUGAUUUAUUUCUAUGUAUAUACAUAUGUAAGUUAGUGUUAUUCCCUCUUGUAAUGUGACAGCUAACAAAUUAAGUCUAAUCUUAGAUGUCACUGUAAGUGAUCUUUUCUUUUGACCUAUUAUAGUUAAUUAAUGAAUAAGAAUAUAGUUGGUGGGUAAGAAAUGUUGAUUCACUUGUAAAAAAUGCAUACAAUCAACGUUAACAACUUAUGGCCGGUAAAAAGCCCGUUCGGUGUUGAGGUGUAUGAGUGUAUUUAAUGCUAUUAUGCAAGACAGUUGGAAGCAAAAGUUUACAGAGAGUGAAACUAUAAAAAAUAUAUCAUAAUCAACUUAUUAGGAUACAUACAACAUGAUAUUAUGCAUGAAAAAUAAAUUAUAAAUGUAAUAUUCUUUUAUUAUAUUUUUUUAUUGGCCUUUUUGCAUAAAAAAUUCACUUAUUUUGGGCUUUUGCAAAAUCGGGUCAUCUUUUUCGUUUUUGCAGAUUCGGUCCGCUUUUUCAGCAAACUGACCAAAAUACCCUUAUUACUUUUUCUCUUUCCUCUUUCUCUCUCCUCUUCGUUUCUGUCGUUUUUUUUUUUCUCGCCGAAAAAAAAAGAGGCAGACCGGACCGUCGCCUUCUUCUUCACCGUCGCCUCCCUCCUCACCCUCCUUCUUCACUGUCGCCUCCCUCCUCACCCUCCUCUCCACCGCCCGCGACCCCCUCAUCCUUUCCCCCGCCGCCGCCGCCGAGCCCACCCCCACCGUCGUCUCUGUCGCCGUCGCCGAGCCAUGGCGGCGGCGGCGGCGGCAAAGGCGGAGGAGAGCGAGGGGGAGGGGAGGGGGUCGCGCGACUCCAUGGCCACCACCACGCUUUCCUUGAACGACACCGCCCCGCCGUCACCGUCGCCGUCACUAUUGGCGCUAUCGUCUUCAUCGUCUUCCGCCUUCUUCGGCGCCACGUCACCGAGUAUGGAGCCCGUGUCGGCGCCGGGGGGCUCAAAGAAGAGGCGGUCGACGUGCGCCGACCACUUGAUGCCGCGUAUCACGCUCUCUGACGACUCGCCGUCAUACUACUCGUCGUCGGACGGCGUCGUCGACAGGCUGGCCAUGUCCCGAUCGCUCCCCUCGUCCGACGAGUUGGUGAAGUGCGACUCCGGCGAGUCCGGCUGGUACGCCGAGUUGGCCGUCUUGUACAUGCAGCCCAACGACGGCGAGGCGGAGAAGAAGACGGCGAAGAAGAAGGCCUAAACUGGAUGCGGAGGCCGAGGCGGAGAAGAAGACGACGGCGAAGAAGAAGAAGGGGAGGCCGAGCGGCAUGGCGCAGGAGGGGGAGGCGGAGGCGCAGCCAGCGCCGGCGUCGGUGCCGCGCGUGUUCUUCUCCGUCGGUGCCGCCCCUCCUCCCGCCGCCGCGCAGAAGCCGGCGACCAGUGAAUGGUGUAAUGGUGCAAAUGGUGUAACAGUGUAAUGGUGCAAAUAGUAUAAUGGUGUAAUGGUGCAAAAUUGUAAUGGUGUAAUGGUGCAAAUGGUGUAAUGAUGUAAUGGUGCAAAAUGAUGUAAUGGUGUAAUAAUAUAAUGGUGCAAAUGGUGUAAUGGUGUAAUUGUGCAAAAUUGCAAUGGUGUAAUGGUGUAAUGGUGCAAAUAGUGUAAUGGUGUAAUAGUGCAAAUGGUGUAAUGGUGUAAUGGUGCAAAAUGGUGUAAUGGUGUAAUGAUGUAAUGGUCCCCACUCCUCGCCGGUGCCGGCUGCGCCUCCGCCUCUCCCUCAUGCGCCCUGCCGCUCGGCCUCCCUUUCUUCUUCUUCGCCGUCGUCUUCUUCUCCGCCUCGGCCUCCGCAUCCAGCCCGACCCCGUUUGCCGCGGCCGCUGCCGCUGCCGCUGCCGCGACGGGAUCGGGCUGGGGGUCCGCGGCGUCGGUGCCAGCUGUGCUUCCACCUCCCCCUCCUGCGCCCUGCCGCUCGGCCUCCCCUUCUUUUUCUUCGCCGUCGUCUUCUUCUCCGCAUCCAGCCCGACCCCGUUCACCGCGGCCGCUGCCGCCGCGGCGACGGGAUCGGGCUGGGGGUCCGCGGCGCCGGUGCUGGCUAUGCUUCCGCCUCCCCCUCUUGCGCCCUGCCGCUCGGCCUCCCCUUCUUUUUCUUCGCCGUCGUCUUCUUCUCCGCAUCUAGCCCGACCCAGUUCGCCGCGGCCGCUGCCGCCGCGGCGACGGGAUCGGGCUGGGGGUCCGCGGCGGCGGGGGAGAGGAGGAGGGGGUCGCGGGCGGUGGAGAGGAGGGUGAGGAGGGAGGCGACGGUGAAGAAGAAGGCGACGGUCCGCCUCUUUUUUUUUCGGCGAGAAUUUUUUUUUCGGCGAGAAAAAAAAAAAGAACGACAGAAACGAAGAGGAGAGAGAAAGAGGAAAGAGAAAAGUAAUAAGGGUAUUUUGGUCAGUUUGCUGAAAAAGCGGACCGAAUCUGUAAAAAUAAAAAAUGUGACCAGAUUUUGCAAAAAUCUAAAAUAAGUAAAUUUUUUAUGCGAAAAGGCCAAUGAUAAAUGCCAAAAUUGACUAACUGCUAGAUUAUAGUAGAAAUUUAACGAAUCGCCAGGGCCGCUUGUCUUGGAGGGCUGUUGGAUACCAUGUGGGGUCCUCCAAUCCUAGAAUCUCUGCAAAUUCCCUUAAGUCUAUUCAGCUCACUAAAUCGACCGUGUGGUUAUCACUGCUCUUUCCAAUGUCUCCUUAUUAUCAACUUCAAUUGCCNCGUCUUCUUCUCCGCAUCCAGCCCGACCCCGUUCACCGCGGCCGCUACCGCCGCGGCGACGGGAUCGGGCUGGGGGUCCGGGACGGCAGGGGAGAGGAGGAGGGGGUCGCGGGCGGUGGAGAGGAGGGUGAGGAGGGAGGCAACGGUGAAGAAGAAGGCGACGGUCCACCUCUUUUUUUUUCGGCGAGAAAAAAAAAAAAGAACACAGAAACGAAGAGGAGAGAGAAAGAGGAAAGAGAAAAAAUAAUAAGGGUAUUUUGGUCAGUUUGUUGAAAAAGCGGACCGAAUCUGUAAAAACGAAAAAGGUGAUCCGAUUUUGCAAAAGCCCAAAAUAAGUGGAUUUUUUAUGCAAAAAGGCCUUUUUUAUUUAUAACACACUCUUUUUGAAAUUCCAAAUGAGCUUUCAGAAAUGCAGUGUAAGUAUGAAUUUUCUGGUACGUUGCUUUGUGAUCAGAUAAUCUGUGCUGAUGAUAAUUUAAGCUAGAUAUCAGUCAAAUUAUAAUUUUACACAAAAGUGGGUCGUACCUAAAUAUCUAGCUUGGAUAAAGAUAAAAAUAUGUUUUACAGCAGAGAAAAACACAAUGUGCAGAUUUAGACUUGAUGUGAAGGGUGAUGGCUAAUUUAUGUUACGCUCAAUUUACGCAAUGGAUCAUUCAUGAAUUGGUUUGACAAACCAACAAACUAUACAAUUAAACCUUUACGAAUAUGAUUAAUUUAAUAUGUUAACACGGAUCAAUUAAUAUUCAAAUGCAAAUGCUUUAUGAGAGAAUGCAAAUCCUACGGCUCUCGAAGAACUUGCUAUAGGCGUAUAGCAUUUACGUAAAUAAGAUUUAACUAGUUUAUAUUUUGUUGAGCUGUCACAUUGGAGAUCUAAUUAAUGGUUCAAAUAUAUCUAAAAAGGGUACAAGUGAUCACAAGGCCCACUAUAGUAUAUUUGCUAUUUAAUUUGUCAGAAGGAUACAUAUAUAUACAGAACUAAAACAUGUUUCACGAUUUUAAAACAUGUUUCACAAUUUUAAUGAGGCCCUCGCUGCCUCAGCUUAUUUCACCUAAUUCAUAUUUUUAAUGAAUGAAGUGGAUAGCAUGCUACCUUUUUCUCAAAAAAAAAAAUAUGCUGUCAUAUGCAUCUUUUAAAUCCUUGUAUUACAAGGUUAGUAAAUUAAUUCCUCACGCCAAAUGAGAACAGUGUUUGGUAAAAUGAAAUUGCACAUGACCAAGUCAAUUAUGGAGGCUCAUAUAUAUCUACGUUACGUACUUAAUUACGGUGGGUUUUUUAACUUCCCCUCCGAAAAACAAAAAGAUUAACUAUAUAUUGAACGCAUUAUUAAUGCUCAAGAAUUAAUAUAUUACUAGUGCAGAGACCCGUGCGAUGCAGCGGGUAGAUAAUAAAAGUAAAAUUUAAAAAUUUUAAUAAAUUUUAUAUUUACGAUUUAUUGAUAUAUAGAAAGCUAUAACAUAUUAAGUACAGUUAAUUUGUAUGACUAAAUUUACAUAGUAAGUAGAGGCCCCCGCGCGGACAGACUCAGCAGGCACUUAUAUAGGUCCCGGCUCGGCUUCGCGGGACGAUACUUCUUGAAGGAGACAAUGUUCUUCAGAGGCUCUUCUUAUUCUUCUUCUUCUUCUUUGUAAACACAAUGAGAGAAAGAGGGAGAUGAGUGCGGAGUAAGAGAUUAGACGAUGAUAUUUUUUUAUGGUGCAUGUAAAAGAGUUACAAAAGAGAGGGAGUAGGAGAUUAAUUAAUGGAGGAGGGGAGUGGUGCAUGUAAAAGAAUUACAAAAGAGAGGGAGUGGGAGAUUAAUGGAGGAGGAAGGUGGUUAAAGUUAUAAAAUAGAAUCUUAAUAUGGUGCAUGUAAUUAAAUAUUGCAUAUAAUUAGAGUAGUGGUGAGGUGAGUUAGGCAUUAAGAAAAGAAGAAGGUGGUUUGAUUUAAAGUUACAUAUAAUUAAAUGUUGUAACUUACAUAUAAUUAGAGGAGUGGGAAGAUGAAGAAUUGAGAGUUGAAAAGAGGAGAAGGUGGUUUGAUUUAAAGUUGGCUAUGAGAAGUAAGAAUAACAUGUCACGUGGCAAAAAAUAUUGUGGCUUCAUAUAGGUUUAUAGAUUGAACGCAUACAACGAACAAAUAUAAAUAGCCUUUUCCACACUUUUAAAUUCCUAUAUGUUUGAUAUUAUUUUCCUUUAUUAAUCAACUAUAUAUCAUUCAUCUCUUUUAGUGUGUCCUUAAAAGCUUGAAAUAUUAUCACCACAAAAUGCCUCGUAAAGGUGCAUACGCACCCUUUCAUUCACCGCGAUAGAGUGAAUGUAUGCAAGAACAAAAACAUUAAUUUCAACCACAUUAUGCCAUACUCGGUGCUAUUUGGGUCGUAAAAUUUAUCAUAUUUUUCUUCACAUGCAUAUGUAUAAAUAGCGCGACAUCCGUGCACUCGAUUUGAGACCAUGAAAGCAACCCUUUUAGUUCGGCAUAUAACUCUUAUGCAGAUCGUUUGAUCAUGUACAAAUGGGUCAGAGCUCAAGGCAUGCGCAUAAAGCAGGUGUGGUGAAUGUGGACACAGCCUAUCAAAAUAUGGUAAGGUCUAAUGGUCUAUGGAUAAGCCCAAAGCAAAAGCUAACGAGGGCGGCAUGCAAAUAUAACAAUCUCUCAGUAACAAGCGAACUGUGAAAUGAAGAAGAAAAGAGACUCACCUGUCACCUCUUUAAUUUAAGUACUUGUUUCCCUCCAUUGUAGACAUUAGUGUGAUCGAGGGAAAAAAAAAAGAAAAUUAAAACUGAGGAAAGUUUUUAGGAAAUUGUUAUUACAAAAGCUUUUUUUUUUUUUUUUUUUACUGUCACAGCACGAUGUUCAAAAUGUUUUUGACUUGAUAUAAUGUACGUGCACUGAUAUUGCUUUUUCAAUAUUAUAUAUAUAUAUAUAUAUAUUAUUGAUCAGCUAGAAUACUUUUAAUAUUAUUUGGACCUUUUUAUCACUAAAUUUAUAAUCUUGAAUAAAAAAUUACAUGAUUGGAAUUAUACUGGUUCCUUAAAGUGUUUAGUGGAUGGUUGAUAAAAUAGCAUCAUCUAAAAAGUAAAAUUGAUAAUAAUGAUAAAAAACUAAAUAACACUGACACUGCUUAAUACUAUUAAAAAUAUUCCGGCCAAACUCACUCUCUCUCUCUCUGUAUAUACAUAUAUAUAGAGAACUAAGCUACUAUACUAUCGGUAGCACGAAGCGCUCUGUGCUACCAAGUUGUUUUCGAUGAUGUGGCUUCCAAAUCGACGAUCGGCUCUGAUAGACUUGAUCAACACUAUUGAAAGUAUUUAGAAACUAAAUUUCAUAAUUUUUCGAUAUCAUUUAUCUAUCAAAUAAAUAGUCUAAAAUUGAAUGGCUGAAAAUAAAAAUCUCAUAAAAAAUGAUGAUAAAAGAUUUAAAUUCAAGAUCAGAUAUAUUGAUCUUACUCUAAAUAGUGAAAGAAUUUUCUAUAAAAUUUUUAUCGCAUUUGAAUUGUUUUACAUUGUUAAACUCAUGAACACACCACAUUGGCCAUUAAAACUAUCAAUUUUGAGAUCUUUUGAUCACUAAAUGAUGUCGAAAAAAAUCUGAAAUUUAGUUUUCAAAUACUUUCAAUAGUAUAGAUCAAGUCUAACGGAGCUGAUAGUCGAUUUGGAAGCCGCAUCAUCGAAAACAACUUGGUAGCACGGAACCCUCCGUACUACCGAUAGUAUAGUAGUCGGGCUCUAUAUAUAUAUAUAUAUAUAUAUAGAGAGAGAGAGAGAGAGAGAGAGAGAGAGAGAGAGAGAGAGGGUGUGGGUGUGGUGUGGGUGUCAAAUAAUGGAGAACUUAAUGUGGCCACCAUAGAAUGGACUAGAAAAGGUUGGAGGUGGUCUUUGUGACAAGCUCUCGAAGCCUCUCAACAACCNGUGGGUGUGGGUGUGGCGUGGGUGUCAAAUAAUGGAGAACUUAAUGUGGCCACCAUAGAAUGGACUAGAAAAGGUUGGAGGUGGUCUUUGUGACAAGCUCUCGAAGCCUCUCAACAACCUCCACGUGAUGCCGCAUUAUAGGGUAUUCAUACGAAUCACUUCACAUCGAUCAACUCACUCACUCUCACUUCAUUGAUCUCACUGAUGCCCCAUGACCCACCCUAUAUCUCCCUCCAAUGAGUUGAGAGAAGGGUUCUUGUGACUCCUUUUGGGCUGUAAAUUAAUAAACGAAUCUUUCUACUGUUUAUAUAACCCCUCCCCUCUCCUCCCCUCUCCCGCACUUAUUUUCUUCAAUCCCUUUCCUGAGCCCUUCUGUUCAUUCUCACCCCCCCACCCGUUAUGUCCCUAUAUAUCCUCAUCUUUUUAAGUCCUUUUUCUUUGAAGCUACUUUGAAUUCCUUCUCUUAGCUAGUCAUUAAGUAGAGGGAACGGACACAUGAUCAUCUCUAGCUAGAACAAACAAAAGGAAGGAAAAUAAGGAAAAGAAAAAUCUUAUGCCCUAGCUAGAUAUAUGUCUUCUAUGCGGAGUCGCGAUCAUCAAAUUAGUAUAGCUAUUUCAAGGUAAGUACUUGACAUUACACACCCAGAUGUUACCUUAUCUUAACCCUCAGUAUCUAUCAGGCAAGUCCUUUUAUAGACAGCAGGAAGCAAGCCUUCCUCUCUCUAACUCCGCCGCCGCGCUCUCUCCUCCGACGUACGAUAUCGACCUUUUCGCCGCCCACUUCCUCCCUUCCGAUUGGCCGGGGCCACUGGACACGCCGGAUUUGGCUCCGCAAGGCAGCAAGGAGGCGAAUGCAGCUGCCGCGCCACCGGCGAGAGAGGGCGGCCAGAAAAAGCGCCGUUUGAGGACCGACCGGCACAGCAAGAUAACGACUGCGCAGGGAGUCAGGGACCGGAGGAUGCGGCUCUCGCUCGACGUGGCGGGCAAAUUCUUCGCUCUUCAGGACAUGCUAGGGUUCGACAAGGCCAGCCAGACGGUCGACUGGCUGCUUACGCAGUCGAAGCCCGCGAUCAAGCGGCUGAUCAAUGAGUCAUCCAACAAGAACAAUAAUAAAACCCCAGAAAAAUGUGAGUCGUGCACAUCAGAAUGGGGAGAUCUGAUCUCCGCAACUUCAUUAACAGCUUCAAGAAAGGGGAAAGUUGACAAGGCAGUGAGCAAAGCUGCAGUCGACCCGAAUCCCAGUAAAGGGUUGAGGGAGAAGGCGAGAGCGAGGGCGAGGGAAAGGACACAAGAGAAAAGAAGGAUGAUGGGUAAUGGGAUGGGAAAUGGUUGUAAAAUAUAUCAAAUGGCUCCUGCUGAAGCUGAGAAUAUUGUAAAGGAGGGAGAUUGCUUCAAUGGGGAUAAGAAUGAGCGUAGCACAGUGGCUGUGGUGCCCUCAUGGGACAUAUGCAAGAAUGGCAAGGUUGAUUACCUCAUAAAUGAGUUGAUGAACAAAGGUUUCACAGGUAAUAUUGAAGAAGAAGAAGAAGAAGAAGAAGAAGAAGGCAAUUCCUUUGGAAAUAUGCAGUUCCAGGACAGCUCCUGGGAUGACUACAGCAUGCUGAGUUUCUAAUUUUUAAGAGCUCAAUCAAUUGAUCUCCAUCUUAAUUAGUCUAUUUUAUCUGUGUUUCACUAUGUCUCAUUAGUUUCCAGUUAAAGCAUGCACUUUGAAGAUCUUGGAACCCUUCAGCUGUUCAGCUUCUAGUAUAUAUUAAGAGAUUAGAAUUCGUGUUGCGUAAAAACAUUCCAGAAAUUAACGUUAUAUAGAAGAAGAAAAUAUAUAUCUAUAUAUGUUGGAUGUGCAAUUAUUUUUAUCGAGCCUUUCACUCAAAUUAUAAUUCCUUUAAUUGAUCGGCCGGUCCGAGCUUAGCUUAAUGAAGCUAUUUAGGUUGUCUAAAAGGUUGUUCACAUAGUCCUUGGAAUUAAUAUGAGAUUGCUAACUGAAAGUGGACCUCUAAAGUGGAUUAGGCCUUAGCACAUCCCACCCUCUCAUGUUUACAAUGCAUAGCAGAAGUUCAAAACCUAAAAACUGUAGGCCGACAAGAGUUAUCAAGGUCAAAACCUAAAAAACGUAGGCCGACAAGAGUUAUCAAGAAAUUAUCAAGGCAUAUGGAGAAAGAUGAAGAUGAGAAGAUAGAAAAAAAAGUUAGAUAUGAUGGGCGAUAAUUGUCGAAUCCACAACCUCUUAUGCCGUCUGAGGGCCCAAUAUGGCUUUGAUACCAUAUUAAAACUUGUAAGAGAUUGAUCCUUUAUGAAUGGGCAUACAAAUAGGCAUCUCAUGUCUGGUUGAAUUAAAAUUAAUUUGAUCAAUGAUGUGUCCUCUUCCAACUUUAGAACUACUACUUUGCACAUAGAAUAAGCCGGUCCAUUGCGAUAUAUUCUAAUUAUGUAUAUAGUUGCUUGUAGCUUUUAGUAUGAAGAAGCUUGCAGUGUUUGGAUUCAUGUUAUUUCUCACUUCACAUUUGCAGUCAUGCAAUAAAUGUCAUUCAUCUGUGAUGAGAUAAAUAAUUCUAACGCAAUCAAGCAUAUGAGGCAUGUAAAGAUGUUGUAUAUCUAAGUUACCAUAUAUGAGUCUGAUUGUUACUAUCAAGAAAAGUGGCUUAUUUCGUCAUACAUGAUCAGUAUCUAAACUUUAUUUUGAAGCUUCAAGCUUUUUCAUAACAUUAUAGGUUCCAUGUUUCAAAUGUGCAAAAGAUGAUAGAAGCAUAUUCGAUUGACUAAGAUUAAUUGUUCAUUCCUUAAUUAGUAAAUGUUACAGCUUAUCUUGUUCAUAUUUACCUUAUGCUGCGGAUUUUGAAUUGAAAGUUAUCGAAGUUGGAAAACUUAAUGUAGAUUGAUUUGUUAUAAUAUUCAUUUGGCUAAACCUAAAAUUAUGCUUCUGCUUUAUUGACUUCCUCUAAAAAAGCAAGUCGCUAGUAAUAUAUUCAGCUACUACUCGAACCAAUUUGGAAAGAUUUAACAUGAAUUAGUACAACUCUUUUUUAUCCCAGCUAUAUACUCAAACCGAUUUGGCAAGAUUUUAACAUGAACGAGUACAACUUUUCUUGAUCUGAACAAUUUAGUUUAUUGAAUUAUGUAAAGACAGGUCAUUCUUGAUGACCAAUCAAAAUUCUAAGGAUGCCUAAAAUUAACAGAUUUCACCUAUAUGCAAAAAUUGUUUCAAGAAACUAAGUACAGAGAUUAAUUGGUCAUUCAACGGAUUUGAGUCAUUAACCACAAGCUCUGUUCGAUGAGUCAAAUUACGGCCACAUAUAAUACCUCUUCUAGAUAAGAAAACACAACCAGUCAUUACCACCUUCUUGAACAUAUAUAGUGUUUUGGUUUCCAAGAAGAUGUUAACAGUAAAAACAAACUGUUCUAAUAUCUCUAUUAAGCAGAAGUAAUAUUUCUAAUAUAUCUUCUAUAAGAAUCCUGGUUCAUUAGAUAAGCAAGGACCUUCAUAUAUUAGAUCAGAUCAAUAGCAAUGCGAAUAUAUAUUGCAUGUCUCCAAAUAAGAGAAUUGUAUUAGAAUCUCGUAGAUUUUAAUUGCUUCCUUUUCCUAUGUUUCUAUCUGUCAGUUAAAAAACAGUUAAAACUUGAUUGCCAACAAAUUCAUAUGGAAUAGGCCCAACCAUGUCUUGCAGAAUUUAUAAGGAUAUCUUUGGACCGUGAGAAAGGCAAGCCUGCCUCUGAGAACAUGCCCGCCUUGAACUGGCAGUCAUGCUGGGAAAUGAAAUGCUAGGGAACGAAUACUAGCAACAAAUAAAGAGUUAAAAUGCGAGGCAUGGCGAAACAACAAUAUUUGGGUGCAUUUCGACUUCAAUAGAGGCAUUAAUAAACGAAUUGCAAGAAGCAACGAACUAACGCUGAAAAAGAUUGAUGCUUAUGAUGAAAACAACAUGGCGCACUCUAUCGAUCUUUACUCAAAAAAUGAAAUUACAAAUACCUAAUGAUGUCUUUCAGUAAGCAAUUUCAGUACAAGUUGAACCACUGUGUUACUAAUUAACUUACAAUCUAAGCAGAAUCUAAAAGUUUUCACUUUAGUAAACAUGAUGAAAAGAGCUUUUUGCAAUACCAUUCAAAGAACCUCUUCAGAAGUAUGAAAUUGGUUAGCUUAAUUACUGGCUUAGUUACUAAAUUUAACUUGAAAUACAAAAGCCGCGACCAAAUUAAUUUAACUUGAGGCACAAUGUAAGAAUUUUGAGGUUUUUUUUUUUUCAUUUUUCCCUAAGGGGAUCCAAGAUUCUUAAGAUUUGAAAUGCGAAAAUGCAAUAGUAAGAGCUCCAAGAUGGUUGCAACAUCUAUGCCUGCCUUUUCUAGUCCUCUGCUUGCGGCCGCUUCAUUCCUUAAUUGUAUUCUUCUUUUUGCCCUAUGUCUAAUUAAUUUAAGUUUAUCAAUAAUUAAAACAUUAAUUAAUUAUAUGAGUAAUUAAACUACAUAGAUUAAAUAUACAUAUACCUGUUCGGGAGCCUUUGAGAUCAAACUACAGAGAUUAGAUAAGUGGUUAUAUUCAUACAUUUAAUUUCUUCAUAAAUUAAUCAUACCAUGCCUUCUUAUUUGUCUUUUGGUGGGGACCCUUUUUAUUGUGUUGAGAUUUGGUUCAUUUCAUUUAUGCGGCGCUUUACUACAAGUGGUCACCACAAAUCAACAGGAAACCCUUAGGGCAACACUUUGACUAUUAUAUAGUACUAGUGAAAUAAUCUGCUCGAUGCAACGGAUAAAUAAUAAAAAAAAAUUAUAGAAGAAAUAAAAAUAUAGAAAUAUAAAUAUUUCAUGAUUGUUAAAAAUAGGACAGACAGCGAUGGUAGCAUACACCAUCCUUUUUGAGGAUGCAUGAGGAACAACGGAUAAGGACCGAAGGGCUUCGAGUAGCGCGCAAGAGGAAAAGGAGGAGAGAAAAAGAAAUUCUAAAAUCAUGGGUGGAGAGAUAUAAAACCUUCCACCCAAACUGCUCUAUAGAUGAGAUGAGGGAAGAGAGAGAUGUCACCGUCGGUUUGGAAAAUAAGAAAAAAAGUAAGAGUUUGGAAAAUAAAAAAAAGUAAGAGAUAUGAGAAGAAAAAAAAAGAGAGAGAGAAAGUUAAAUGAUAUGGAUAUGAGGGAGAGAAAGGAUUUUACUAAGAUAAAAAAUAAUAGAGAAAAAUUUAAAAUAAAUAGUNUUAAAUGAUAUGGAUAUGAGGGAGAGAAAGGAUUUUACUAAGAUAAAAAAUAAUAGAGAAAAAUUUAAAAUAAAUAGUAGGUCCCACCAUUCUCAAAUUAAGCUGGUGCAUCCACAUUGAAUUUCACCAUAAGAAAUCAUGUAUUGGUAUAGAUACUACAUAUAAUAUAAGAUCUUUAGGACAACUAAUGUUCAUAAAGUAACUCCUUAAAUGAAACAAGCCAUCACUCUACUUCAACUACUUUUAGAACCUAACAUUAGGGUAGUACUUACUCUGAUGUUUUUGUGAUGCGCUAUGAGGCCAAAGUUUAGUUGUUGAAGAUGGAAACAACAAGCGUAGGUAUGACCAAGAAAUAAAGAAAACUAUAUUACACUACGGGUGCAUGGGGUAUAGUAUAUCUCUGUUUACCCCAAUAUACUAUAUACGUUGAGCACUUAAUUAGUCAAUUGAUCGAUAGGUUUACGUACCAUAUAUAUCUUUAUUGGACUUUAGGACAAAUAUUCUAUUAAAUCUAUUUAGCUUUUUGAAGUCUUUAAUGGUACAUUGGCAAUCUAUAUAUUACUACAAUGUUUAGGCACUAAUACGGCCAAAAAUAAAACUUAAAUAUAAUAUUAUUAAAUGAUCUGUUCUACUAUUCAAAUGUUAUAUAUAACAUCCUAAGUCGUUUUAGAUGAUAAGCAUCCCGAAUCAAUGAUUAGAACGUUAAAACUGAUCUAGAGCAUUUAUAAUGUUUAAAAACUAAAUUUCAUACAUUUUAAAAUUCAUUAGCAAGUUCAUUAAAGAGACAAAAAAUAAACGGUCAAAAACGAAUAACCUUAUGAAAACAGAUGUUAGACUUUUUCAAUUUAUAAUCGGAGUUAUUUAAAUAGUAUAAAAAAAUUUAUAUUAAAAAUUCAAGCCGUUUAGAUUGUUCUACGCUAUUAAACAAGCAAAUAACUCAUAUAUAUAGGCUAUCAAAAACUGUUGAUUUUGUAAUCCUUUGAUUACUACGUAAAUAAUUUUUUAAAUUUAUAAAAUUUAAUUUCUAAAUACUUUAAAUAUUCAUAAUCAAUUUUAAAGGUUCUGAUCAUCGAUUCGAAAUUCCUAUCAUCUAAAACGACUUAGAAGGACGAAGAGAUUCUAUAAUAUAUAUAUUCAUGUAAAACAAUUCUUUUUUUGUGAAAACUUAGCCGGUAAAGAACGGUAUUUUACUAGUUUAUCUUCAGCACUCCCUCUCAUGUUUGAUUCAAGAUUUUUAAUCAAUUAAUAGGAUAAGCUGCCAACUUUUAAUGAAACGAGUGGAGAUUUUGGCACAUGUAUAAAUGAACCAGAUAAGAUUUGAAUUUAAGAUCUCCUGUUCAAAUUCUUAUUAAUAAUUUAGUUUAACUCCGCUGAAAAUGAUGCUAACUGCUUGAUCUAGCUAUAGCUAGAACCAAUUAGUCCUCCACAUAAACCCUAAUUUCUAGAAAUGAAGGUAAUUAAUGAAGGUUCUCCUCUAGAACUCCCUAAUAAAUCUAUAGAAAUUAAACCCCUAAUCACUCUUCUAUAUGACCCCUAAUUACUCACAAUGGACAUGAAUUUCUGAAACCAUCACUAGCUAGCUAGAGAGUCGACGCAAAAUAUAUAAUGGUGUCUUACAUAUCUGAGACACCUAAUUCCGAUAUCUUUUUCCAAACCUUUCCGUAUUAAUGGUGUCUUAUAUCUGCAAAGCACGACAAGUACCAAUUUAUGAACAUAUUCUCCAAGGUUAAUUCUCUUAAAAUUGGUAUAUAUAUUUUGUUUCUUACUACGCGAGUUUAUAAUACUUAUCAAAGAAAACCAAUUUUGUUAGCAGAACCCAAUUCUAUUACUUUUAUAUACCCAUUAAUCAUUUUUAGUGGUUGCCAAUCAUGUUAACAGUCAUGAUCACCAUCAGACAAAUCUCAACUUUUUAAUUUCUUGAUGUGUGCAUGUAUAUAUGCNCAUUUUUUUUUUUUUUUUUUUCUUGAGUACUGAAAUUUUAUGCGAUAAUUAAACAAAUAUAUAUAGCUGAUGUUAACUCAUGAUAUUGAUUCACUACACAAGUAGUUUUUGAGCCAGUCCUACAGGCACCACCAGAUGCAUUGUUGGCACUCAACGUAUACUCAUCGUCAGAUUCUUAAACCAACCACUGUGCAUUAAUAAUUUUAUAUGAGAAAGUUUAAAAAUAUAUACUGAUGUUUUCAAAAUCGGCAUUUCAGAUAAUUAAUACCAUAAAUUCACAGCUAAAAGGCGCUAACUAGAAUUUUAUACGAAAUUAAUUAGUUAACAGCAUAAUGUGUAUCUUAUAGCUAGAGAGAAACACAUGCAUGAACUAUAUUUAUACACACACAUGCACCAAGAGAUAUUGAGGGUAGCAGCAUGCAUACAUACCUUAAUUUUUGUGUGUCCGAUCACGAAGAGACAAAUUAAGAAGAUCUAGUUUCGAAGAAACAUCAGAGAAACAUCAGAGGGUGCAGGAGUUUCGGUUUCGCCACGCCAUUUCAGGAAGGGAUUAGCCAACCUUUUCUUGCUCUUUUUGGUAUGUAAACAAGCUUUCAUGCUAUAUAUAGAUCGAUGAACUUGAUUCUGAUGUAUAAAAAAGGGCUGAGCUUGGAAAUGGCCUAAGUAAUUAAUGAGAUAUUGCACGACAAUUAAUCUUAUAGAAAUAAUAAUAAACAAGGCACGUAUAUAUAUAUAUAUAAGGUAUUGCUGUGGUUCUUCUUAGAGUGGACCACAUGAGCAGCACCCUUCUCAGGGGCUUUUGACUCUCGAGCUCGUAUUAUUGCUGUGGUUUUUUUUUUUAAAGAAAAGGAAUAGCUUUGUCCUUAAUUAGUACGUUCCAGGAAAUUGAAUCUGGCUCAGCUGUAGGCGUAGAGUAUACUAACAAAAGAAAAAAAGUACUUUAAAACUAAUUAAUCUCCGUUUUUAUUGCUUAUUAAAUACCAAUUAAACAAUAAUUAUUUCAACAAAAAUUGAGUUUAAUUAGGCUGAUCUAGAUGGGCUUGGGCAAAGUACGAGACUCGAAAUCACACCAGCUGGUGUUAACCAUUCGGGCGAAUUGAAAAGAAAAAAUCUUGUUUGCAACAAUUAUAAUUAAUAAGAUAUUUCUCAAACUAAUCAUAUUGUGCCAGGAAAGAGUCCAAUCACAAUCACGAAUAAUAUGAUAAUAUUACGUAUUCAAAAUGAUGCUCUAAAAUUUUUUUUCUCAUACUUUUAUUCAAUUAAGGACUGUUUAGUUGCAGGCAGUUUUAAUUAAUUUCACUGCAAUUGUCAUUGUAUAUAAAUUCAAAUCCGGUGUUUAGUUAAUUUGAUGUAUUUGGAUUUAACUGCUAUAUUUGGAACUGUACGAAGCAGCUCAAUUAUAGCAGUUGAAUUUACGCUCAAAUUAAUUAGUCGCAACUUCAACUGUAGUAAUUAAAAAAAAAAAAGUAAAUCUAAACAAAAAUAAGCUUCCCUUCCUGAUAAUUGUUUAAUUAGAAAUAACUUUUUCCUACAUAGGUGUAAUCUCUCAAUUUCGUAUAUAUAAAGUAAUAAAAUUUUAUAAAUACAAUUCAAAAUUGCAUAUAAUCAAAUAAAUUAUUUAUAAUUAUAGUGCUAUAUACUACAUCUAAUAAAAUACGAUGUAUACAAUGAUAACUACUAUAUUCUUUAUUAUAUAUAUUUUAAACUACACAAUAUUUAUAAUUACAUUCAAACGGUGGGAACUAUAAGUCUAUAACACACAAGGAUCUCUCCACGAAGAAAAAGUCUAAAAUAUAUCAAUUAUAUUAUUGAUGGGGUAUUCCCAGCUAAUCAAUUUUUUUAAAAAAAAAUUCACCAAAUCCAUCAUAAUUAUUAAAAAAUAUAUUUUUUUAUAUUAUAUAUAUAUAUAUAUAUAUAAAAUUUGAUGGAUAAUAAUACGUUGUAAAUGUGAUACAGCAGAAUUCCAUGAAUUGGGCCGGCAGCUACCCCGUGAUUGGUGCGGCCUAAAUUACAGUCGUCCCACAAAUAGCUGCUCAACAUUGUAGAGCAAUUAAUAACUCACAGCGCUUGUUCGAGGCCGUACGAUGCCAGAUCUGCCUCGAUUCGACGGCCCAAAUUGGCGGGAUCCGUACCCAAAUGAUUAAAAUAUGCUUCCAAAGCCGUCCAAUCACACCUAAUUAUCAUCUCCUCGACAAUGAAUUUCUAUUGUUGAUUAAUAAAUAGGCACCUACUCUAAAAUAAAUAAAUAAAUAAAUAUAUAUAUAUAUAUAUAUAUAUAGUCCGACUAUUAUACUCUUAUCAGUAUGAUCGCCCUCAUACUCAUAAGUUAUUUUUGAUGAUAGAGCUUUUGAAUCAACGAUUCAUAUCGUUAAAUAUUAUUUAGAGCAUUUAAAACUUCUAAAAAUCUAAUUUUAUAAUUUUUUGAUAUUAUUUACUUUAUAAUCAAAAGGUCACAAAAUUAACAAUUUUUAACGACCGAUAUGGAAUACUUGCUAGUUUAACGGUGUAAAAGAAUUGAAAUAGUUAGAAUUUUUAAUAGAAAAUUCUCUUUACUAUCUAAAUAAAUAUCAAUAACUCAAAUUUUAAAUUGAAGGAUCCGACCAUCCAUUUUGAGAACGUCGUUCGAUUUUGACCGUUCAUUUUUUGCUCGCUUGAUGAACUUUAUUGUGAUUUUAAAAAAUUAUAAAAUUUAUUUUUUAGAAGUUUUAAGUAUUUUAUAUUAUAUUUGACAGAAAAGAUCGUCGAUUCGAAAACUGUAUCAUAGAAAAUAAUUUAUGAGUACCAAAGGGUUCUAUACUAAUUUGGCUUUUGCGUAUGCUAAAUAGAUUAACACAUAACACAUGCAUACUAGAAGGAUACGGGUUAAGCUUACGUUUUGUUUGCUAACAGAGUUAAGAUCCUAAAUCCAAGCAUGGCUCGUCUAAACUUGGAUUGCUUAGUAAUGUAGCUUUCAUCCUCUGAGUCCUAUUAGUUUUUAUCACUUUUAAAGAUCGAUAGUAUAAUAAUAUUUUAAUUUUGGAAAAGUAACAUUUAUCAUAUCGUGGUAACUAAAAAUUUGAUGAAUAUAAAAAAAGAUGAUUGGACGUUACAAGGCAGGUCGCGGUGGACAAAGUUUAGUAUUUGGAAAUGGCAAGGAAAAUAAAAUUUAUAGACGCGCACAAUUAAAGCAAACGUAAGAGGGAGAGCGGGAUCCAUGCGUCAGUGAUGUGACAAACAUGUGCUGCUACAUGACACCUACGUAUCCUUUUGAAAUGUACGGAGCGUUGAUAUAAACCAAUUUUUUGCUGUAGAAAAUCAUGUUAAUCCUUAUCCACCCUUUCGAUGUACAAUAGUAACAAAAGAGAAGAAAGGUUUGGGGACUAGAGCUUGUUAAAGCCAUUCUUCGAUUAAAGUUAAAAAAAAAAAAGAGAACAACAACAUAAAGAAUUAAGAAAAAUGUCAAAUACAUCCAUAAUUUCAAAUAUUUGGAUUGUCGUAAAUUAAUUUUUCACUUUUUUUUUUUACACAUUUUAAUGAAAGUAGAGCUUUUCCUUUUCCACCUCUUUUACGCGAAAGAUGAAAACUACUCAUCAAAACAUGCGGCUCACGGCAGCAGAAAAAAAAACACGAUCGAGGAGAAAAGCUGAUUCUCGUGGACCGCAUAGGAGGUCUCAUCAUGGACCUAUCUUUCUUUCUUUAUAUAUAUAUAUAUAUAUAUAUNUAAUAUAUAGACUAGAAUAAAAUACAUAUAAUAAUAUCUUAUUUUAUUUGUUUUUUUUCUUUUUCUUUCAAGCAACUGUAAAUCCGUAAUAAAUAAAAAAAAAUCCUACAAACCACACACUAAAGAGCAUAAAAUUUAUUUUCUUCAAAAAAAAAUUUUCCAUCAAAAAUUACUUUUCACACUUUUACGUAAAACCAAACCGCCCCUAAAGUAGAACUCACCAUAAUGGUUGACAAUAUAGAACAAAUUCUAACAUUUUCUAUAGAAAUAGUUGUUCGACAAAAUUCUAUUUGUAUCAUAGCACGACUUAGCCAAUACUUGCUAUAUAUCAAUUAAUAAGCACAAGAAAGCAAAGGUUGAUCAUCAGAGCUCAAAGAAUAAGAGUAUCAGAUGGGGAAACUCUGUUAGAGCUAUAAUGUUAUAUAAUUAACCUACUGAAGGAACUAAAAGGAACACAUUCGGACCAGGCAAAUCAACAUUCACCCCAUGCCUUUUGAUCUCUGGCAGUAUACCCACACAUGAAGAGACCAUUUAAUACGAAGAAGCCGAUGGGCUUGACGGCCGAGGGCGGCCCCUGCUGUAUUUGGGAGGGUUAGUUCUAGCGACAUCAACAACUAUCAUCCAGCCAUUAAUUAUCUGCAAAAAGAAAGAAAUAAUUUGUGAGUUAUACUCUCACGAGAUUUUCGUUAGCCGUCGUGCCUGUUCGGCCUAGCUUCUCUACUGUAAAAAACACAAGUAUUUGGCAAAUAAGUGUUUUAGAACUUUUGUCAUAGUAGGAAAGCUAAAGUAAGCUUCUGAGCAUCGUGAAUAGAUGUUUCAAUUUAAAGCUUUUGCUCCUACUUGUGCAAAGAUAUUGCAGGUGAAGUGUUUGCACUAAAUUGUUCUAGUGUUUCUUCGAACAGAACAUCUGCAAAUGCUCCAGCUAGGCAAAACAGAACCGUCGGACAAAAACCAUGUUCUUGUUACCUUCCCAUUCAUCUCUCUCAAAGCAGCACCUGCUGCUUCUUCUGUCGUGUACUCUAUGAAGGCAUAACCCUUCGACCUUUUCGAUAUCUUGUCCAUUAUUAUUUUGACUGUUCCAAAGACAUUAAAAGAUACGUCAGAUUACCACCCAUUGUUCAGUUAAAGAAUUAAUAAUUAAUUGAUGAGGCAAAGGGUACUGUAACCUUCAAUGAGUUCACCAAAUCCUUCAAAAGCCGCACGCAAAGUUUUCUCAGAUGUAUAGAAUGAAAGUCCUGCCCAAAAAUGUUUAACAGGGAUGUAGAAAUGUAUCAGAAAUUUUACUUCUCACGAAACUCAAUAAGCUUUGUAACACAAAAUUAGGUGUAUAAAAGCAAAGAGUAAGAGCUUUUUGGAGGGACUGCAUUACUUUCCAAAUACAAAAGCAAUUAGCCUUAAAUUCAGAGACCGGACUUAAGAUGGACAUCAUGGUAAUCAAAUCCUAUCACAUGAUGCAUCUACCUCACCAACCAGGUUUCUUGUUUAAUCCAACUUGACAAUUUUUUACUUCAUGAAACCCCCUUUUAAGAAAUCUAUGGUGAAAGGAAGCCCUACAGGUUUUAAGGAGUAGGGGAUAUCCAUCUUGACAAGAAAUUAUCUAUAUGUUAUGUUCGUGGCACAGAACAAAUUAAUUGAUAAGGAAUAGGAUCCAUAUUCAUUAAUAGUCAAGAGUGUGAUACAUAUUUAUUCAUCUAUAUACCUAUCUAAAACUUCUUAUGAAACAAAAAAUCAUUACUGCACCUAAUAUCGACUUGUUUGGGCCAUUAGGUCCGCUCUUGCAUUAAUAUCCUAAUCAUCUGAAGUAAGCCUUGCUGCUUUACAUAGGUAUACUACAAUGGAGACCACACUGUUAUCUUUAUGACCAAUCUAAAAAGCGGAAUGAUAUUUAAUGGUAUUUAGAAGCAGUUUUAAAUGUCCAUUGGCCCUCUCAUACUUACACAUCUGCUCAAGUAACCAAGCACUCAAGUGCCUGUUACUUACAUCUGUUGAUUAUUAGACUAUUACCUUAAAUACACCUGGCACAUUCUUGUCAAGAAAUUUGUUACAUUCUUCUAAAUGUCCUUACUUGCAUAUUUUACCAGUCAAAAGGUCCUUAUGUUCUACCUUUGCCUACUAAACUUUGGACAGAGAACCAGAGCAUCAAAGCAAAUAUAGCGAAUAAUUUUAGCAUUGAAAAAUUUUACUGAAAAGGAUGAUAAUAUGAGUUCUUGGAAUAAAAGAUGAAUCAGAACAGCAUACAAACUGAUAAAAGCAAACAAAAAGAAAACCGUAACAGUAAGGAGGUACUUACCAGUCACAAAAAGCCUUUUGGUUUUGACAUCUGGCAACUGAUUUGUUUCUGAUGUCUUCGGUGAGUUGCCAUGAUCUGCAUAGUCACAGCUAUGUUGAAGUAUGGAAAGCACACAAAGUAUCAAUCCACAAAAAGAUAUAGCUGUCCCUUACAAGUUGUGAAUGAGAACAAUAAAAUUGAACAUAAGAAAACUUAAAAGUCGCCUUCAGAUCGAGACAUCUGAAAGUUAACAUGCCACACAGCUAAACUAUCCUCUGAACCACAAGCAUAAAGUUCUAGAGGCUCCACCGACCAUCAAUGCAAGUACUAUGGUCUACGAGCAUAUUGUACAGAAAUUAAAAAACCAACAUCACAGGAAAAUUCAAUUGAUUCAGGCAGAAAGUAAGACACCUGACGGACGUCUGUAAUCUUUGUUAUCUGACCCAAAAUUAUUAUCAGGUCGAACGGACAGGACCCCAGGGACAUCUAGCAUGCAAAUAAAAAAUCUCUUAGACUAUUGAAAUAUAAGGCAGACCUGUUGCAGAUGCUUCAGAGUACCAAUUACUCACCAGCUAGCUCUCGUGCACAUUCCUUGUCAACAUGGCAGCAAAACCCAAAAUCCUUCUCCCAUGAGAUGUUAUAUAUCGAAACUUGUGCAUCCUUCUCACUGCAGAAACAGAAUGUGUGGUAAUUUUGAUGAUUAUCAUUACAAAGGAGAAUCGAUAAUAUUGAAGUCAGAUUAAGGAGAGAGAAACACUCACUUUCCCAAAACCUUUGUUAGGAUCUGAGUGUAAUGAUCCACCAUUUGUGCUUUAGUCACGACUUCAACCCCAGGCUUCUCCAUUUGAACAAGCCAGUAUUCGUUUCUCCCCGUUGAUGGAGAAAAUUUAGGAGGACUGCUGUUAGAUUCCAACUGGUCAACAAACGAGAGGUUCAAAUUGCCAUAAUCCUUCUUUCCAAGUUCUUCAUCUCUAUCAGGCUUAACGGAUAAAACGCCAGGCAUACCUAGAGUGAGAAAGAAAAUGUAAAUAACAAGUGUAAACAAAAAUCAAAUUAUGCUCAAAUCUUAAUUUACACUCAUUUGCUUGUUAUCCUAAACUACAGAAAAAUGAUCCACAACUUGAUGUGUUUUUAAGUUGAAACUUGCUACCUCACUUGUUGCUGCGUUGUAAACCUGAAAUGACCAAACACUACUAUGUUCGAGCUAGUGACAAUUACUUAACCAUACAUAACAUAUGAAUAAAAGAGUGGAAUGCCUCUCCGAACUGUAUCAUUUGACUCCAUCCAUCAACUUAGAACCAAUAGAAUGAAAAUACUUCAAAGAUGUAUGAAAUUGCAAACUCACGGGCGAGCUCUUGCGACGACGCUUCAUCAAUUUCGCAGCAAAAACCAUAAUUUGUUUGCCACGACGCAUCAUAUAUACACAUCUGGGCCUCCUUUUCACUGUUCAUAACACCGAAACCAGUAAGAAGAGCCCAAAACGUACGCAGCAGUACGGAAACACCGGAAAAACCCGUACCUUCCCAAAACCCUAGCUAGGGUUUCGACGUAGUAAUCGACGACUUCCGCUCUCGACGAUCCACCAGCAGGGGGUUUCUCCAUCACCACCACCCACUUUGUACUCGCGGGGCCAGAGGAGGAGGGAGGAGGCGAAGCCGCGCCGGCCCCGGCCGACGACGGCGACGGCCACGGCGCCGCGGCGGCGCGCGCAGAGGCGGCUACAAGGCGGGGGAAGGAGCGGCGAGUGGGUUUGGGGAAGGGGGCGGCGGGUCCGGCACCGGAGAGAUGGUGGUUUUCCGGCGAGCGGCGGAGGAUGGCUUGAGGGUGGGAGAUGGCUAGGGUUUCGGCGACGGAGAGGAGGAGAACGUCCAUGGCGACCAUCGCCUCCGCCUCCGCCGCCGCCGAGAACGGAGGAAGUGAGAGCAACUCCUAAUUCAAAUGCUCUUCCCACCACCACAUGGUUACGGGAUUUAUCAUUUUUUAGCUCGUAAUAUAAUAAUAGUGUCAGUGUAUCACUCUCGUCCGUUGAUAUUUUGGCCCAUUUAAAGUAAAUUGAAAAAUUGAAAAAAAAUUUAAAUAAAAUAAAAAUAAAAGUUGAAAUUUAGUUAGAUUCAAGUUGAGCCUGGGUUAGUAUGGGACUUUAGAGCCGGGUCAGGUACUCAGGUCAAUGUACAAAAAAGGGGCUACAAUGGGCUGUUUGGGCCGGGCCUCUUUUUUGUUGUGGUGCCCCGAUGACUUUUUCAAAGCUUAAUUUGUCAGAAUAGCUUUAUGCUAAUUUUAUAAGUCAAGUCUCCUUUUUUUUAUUUUCUUUCUCUGACAAGGUAUGUUGUGAGAUUAAAGUAAAAAAACAAACCUUAAUCAAUGAGUUCCCGCGGUAUUUAGAAUAGUGGAUACUGGAUAGGUAUUCUCUGACCUUACAUAUAUUGUAUAAUAAUCACUUAGCCUUAAAAAAUAUUAAGAGACCUUUUGAUUAAAGAAAUAAUAAUAAAUAAAAAAUAUAGUUAAAAAUAAGUGCAGUUAAAAAUAUAGUAGUUGUGAACUUGUGAUUGUACCUAUCUCAAGCUAUAAAUAUUUUAUUAAUUAGAACUAGGCUGGAAUACUAUUAAUAGCACCAAUGGCUUGGUGCUAUUAAGUUUUCUGCUCUUAAGUUAAAAGAUGUGCGGUUUUGAUGAUAUGGGCCACCUAGGGUUGAGUGGGUGGUUAAUUGAAUAGUAUAAUCGAAUAGAUAAAAAUAAUAAAAUAGGUGGAUCUGAAACUUGAUAGUAUCAAAUACUUCGUGCUAUCGAUAGUAUCACAGCCGGACUCAUUAGAACUAGGCUGGAAUACUAUUAAUAGCACCAAUGACUUUGUGCUAUUAAGUUUUCUACUCUUAGAUUAAAAGAUGUGCAGUUUGGAUGUUGAAAUUAUAAAUUUUGUAAUAUAUAUAUGAGUCCAGUUACGGUGCUUGUAAAAGCACCAAGCACUUGGUGCUUGUAAGUUUUUUACCGUUAGAUCUACUUCUCGGAUAAUUUUCAACCAUUAGAUUAUACUAUUCAAUCAACCACCCACUAAACCCUAGGGGGCCCAUAUCAUUCUAACCGCAUAUCUCUUAAUCCAAUGGCUUUUUAAUCUACAAGCACCAAUAUCUCUCAAUUCUAUAUAUAUAUAUAUAUAUAUAUAAGAGAGAGAGAGAGAGAGAGAGAGAGAGAGAGAGAGUAGGUCUCCCAUGUUUUCGAAAGUACGGAGGCUUCCGUGCUUGUAAAUUGUUUUCGAUGAUAGGACAUCCGAUUCGACGAUCGGCUCCGUUAGGCAUAAUCUAUCCUAUUGGAACUAUUUAGAAACCAAAUUUUAUAAUUUUUCGACUUCAUUUACCAAGUGAUCAAAGGGUCUCAAAAAUGACUAUUUUAACGGCCGAUGUGGUAUGUUUUUAAGUUCAACGGUGUAGAAGUAUCCAAAUUACAUGAAACUUUAAUAAAAAAUUCUACUUAACAUCAAGAGCAAGAACAAUACUUCCGAUUUGAAAUUUGAGUCCUUUAUCGCUGUUUUUUAUAAAAUUUUUAUUUUCAGCCGUUCAUUUUGAGGCUACUCGUUCACUAGGCAAACGAAGUUAAAAAAUUAUGAAAUUUGGUUUCUAGAUAGUUCCAAUAGCGUAGAUCAUGGCUAACGAAACCGAUCGCCGAAUUGGACGUCUCAUCAUCGAAAACAACUUACAAGCACGGAGACCUAUGUACUUUCGAAAACAUAGGAGUCUAGCUAUAUAUAUAUAUAUAUAUAUAUAUAAUAUAUAUAUAUAUAUAUAUAUAUGGUACAGCUAUUUUCAAUGUAAAAUAAAGUAUAUUUUCAAUUUAAAUGGUUAUUAUGAAGAUAGGUUUUUUUUUUCUUUUUAAUUUAAAGUUAGAAUUGCGGCUAACAUAGGCAUAGUCUUAAUAAUUACAAUUAAAUUUCGAUGUAUACAAUUAAAUACAAAAGUUGAAUCUGUAUGUAAUAACUACUACAGUACGGUUAUUAUUUUAUGCUAUCAAACAGCUAUAAUUGCUGUACUAAUUCAGCAUUAAAACGCUAGUACCGAUAGCCAGAUGAUACAACAACAUGCGAUAGUUGACUUUAAACUUUAAAGGUGGGAUAUUUAAACUUACUUGAGAUCUUUAAAUUAAGAAGCUGGAACUCUUAAUCUAAAAAUAUAUAUAUAUGUACGUUAAUACGUAUAGUAUAAGCUGUCAAGUGACUCGUAGUUGGUUUUGGAAAUGAAUAUAGUUUAAUCAGCUGAUGCGCACGAAAAUUAUGCACAAGGCGCGAUCACGACCGUUCAAUCCUCGUGUCCCUCUUAGUCAAACCAAUCAUGUGAAUUAUUAUACACAGUAAACGACCACUCUAAAUACUCUUUCCCCGCUUCCCCCCUCCCCCGGCUUCGCUCCUCGCUCCUCUUUCUUCAACGACCAAAACUUUUGACUUCCUCAAGAAGCCGCACCUCCUCCUCCUCCUCCUCCAUUAAUGGCGACGGAGGAGCCACUGCCGCCGCCGCCGCUUUCGCAGCUCCAUGGCGUGGUCAUCAUCUCCCUCCCUCCCCCCGAUGACCCCUCCAAGGGCAAGACCAUCACGGCGUUCACCCUCUCCGACUCCGCCCCCCUCCACCACCCUCCUCCUUCGCCGCCGCAGCAGCAGCCCUCUCGAUCGCCUCCGUCGCCGGAGCGCCGCCGCGUCCUCUCGUCCUCCGCGAGGAAGGCGCUCGCCUCCGUCCUCGGCGCAUCCUUCCUCGUCUUCUCCCUAGGGCUCUGCCUCUUCUCCGAGGCGCCGCUCGAGCUCCUCGGGAGCGGCUCCGAGGAGGAAGGGAGGGCGCGCGACGAGGCGCGAUCGUUCUUGCUCCCGCUGUACCCGAAAACGCGGGGGAGGGUUCUGAGGGAGGUGGGGGAUAUCAAGCUCGCGGCGACGAGAGAUGAGGAUGGGAUGGAGGGGGUGAGAUUGGCGAAGCAGGGGAGCAAGAUGACGGUGUCUCCUUCUUCUUCUUCUUUUUCUUCUUCGUCGUCGUCGUCUUCUUCGGUGAAUUCGACCGUUGCGCUCCCGAUCCAAGGGAAUGUGUUCCCCGAUGGGUAAUGUUCUUUAGAUCUCUUCCCAAUAUCUUCUAUUAGUUUCUGGAUUUAAUUUGGUUACAGUGAAUAUCACAUCGGUUCUAAUUCAAUUUCAAUUUCAAUUUGCAUGAUGUGAGAAAACAUCGUUAGCCCAAGCUACAUGAAUAGAACAGUAGUUUAUUCAUGUACGGAGUUUCAUAUAUAGGACGGGUAUUAGGGUAUGUCGUAAUUUAAUCGCUUAUUUUAUUAGUAAAAUUUUAAGCUCAUUUUGAUGUAAUUGUGCAUAUGUGUGGUUAUUGUUUGCUUAUUGCCCUGCUAAUUCAUAUACCAGUUCUCUUUAACUAGCGGAUUUAGGAGCUAUACUUAGUAUGGUCUUUUACUUCUUUCGGUUCAAUGGUGCAGAAUCACCUUAAAUGUUUGCACUGAUCUAACCCUAUAUAGUUAUUUUUUCUCGAGUUCAUUCUCUCUUAGAUGCUUUUUGCAGACAAUAUUACACUUCCAUUUUUGUUGGGAAUCCUCCAAGACCUUAUUUCCUUGAUGUGGAUACUGGGAGUGACUUGACUUGGAUCCAAUGUGAUGCUCCAUGUGCCAGCUGUGCCAAGGUAUAUACAAUGUUACACCCUUAAUCAUGAAAUAGUGAUAAAACUAAAACAAAAUUUGCUUCUGUCGGAACUAUUAUCUUUGUUUAUAAAAUUCUCCUCUUCAAAAGUUUAGCAUGUGGCUUAUGAACACUUAACAGGAUACCCAUGAUUAUUUUCUACUCGGAUUCCAUAGUUUCUGGAUAACUACUGUGUUAUACUUAAAGUCAAUGUUUUGCCAGGGACCACAUCCAUUAUAUAAGCCUGCCAAGGGAAAGAUAGUCCCGCCUAGGGACUUACUGUGUCAGGAACUGCAAGGUAAUCAGAAAUCUUGCGAGUCUUGCCUACAAUGUGAUUAUGAGAUAGAGUAUGCAGAUAGGAGUUCCUCGAUGGGUGUUCUUGCAAGGGAUGAAAUGCAUCUGAUUGCUACGAAUGGUGACAGAGAAAAGCUAAGCUUUGUUUUUGGGUAUGUCCAUGUUCGUAGGUUUGACCUUAUAUUUAGUAAUAUAGAUAAACCUUUAUCUUACAGCUCUAUGUUCUAAUCACUUGGAACUCAUAUGUAGGUGUGCUUAUGACCAACAAGGUCAACUUCUAGCCUCUCCGGCAAAGACAGAUGGGAUCCUUGGACUUAGCAGUGCAAAAAUUAGUCUUCCUUCUCAGUUAGCCAGUCAAGGAAUCAUCUCUAAUGUCAUUGGUCAUUGUAUUACCAGUGAACCGAAUGGUGGUGGCUAUAUGUUUCUAGGUGAUGAUUUUGUACCGGUAUGGGGAAUGACAUGGGUACCCGCUCGUAGUGGUCUUGUGUAAGUACAAUCUUCUUCUUGUUCAAAUGAUUCUUCUACUUUCAAAUGAAUCUUAUACUUGUCAUUGUCUUUUUUUAUGUUGCUAAAAUUUCCAUGUUAGUUUUCUUAUCGUUCUGUUCAUUAGCUUUUGUUUCCUUUUUUUGUACAUUUCGCCUUAAUGCAGAUAGACAAUUUGUAAUGCUGAUCAUGCAUUUCCUGCAUAUUUCAGUAAUUUUUACUACACGGAGGUUCAGAAAGUAAAUUAUGGAGAUGUAACACUCAGCGCUGGUGGCCAGAAAAGCAAUUUGGUUCAAGUCAUCUUUGACAGCGGCAGCUCUUAUACCUUUUUCCCAAAUGAAGCAUACAAUAAUCUGAUUGCUUCUGUGAGUUCUUUGCCCAGACUUUACUAGUUCAUCAUUAUAGCCGACUAAUGAUUCUUUGAACUUGGCAGUUUAAAAAUCUUCCGAGUGGUCUUGCUCGAGAUGACUCUGAUCAAACACUUCCUGUGUGUUGGAGAGCUGAUUUUCCUGUCAGGUAGUCUGACGAAAAUUAAUAUGUGAAUUGGGUCAUAUUUUUCUUGUAUUUUCCGAUUUUAGCCAUUUCAACUUGGUGCUUCCGCGUAGUCUAAAUAGAUGGAUAAUAUGGUUCUUUUGUAAGAAACUGCUUGUUUGAGGGGUAUAUGAACUUUAGAAUUUAGGGGGAUAGCUUUAACUUGAUGAUUUUACCUGGAUAUAUAUGUAAAAGCUCCUUCUUUAGAUACAGAACCCCAAAAGUAGUUCUUCUGCAUGCAAACUUAAGAUAAUAUGGUUUUUCAUAUAAAAUUCAUGGUAUUGCAGGUCUGUGAAAGAUGUGAAGCGGUUUUUCAAGCCCUUGACUCUACAGUUUAGAAAGAGAUGGUGGGUCAUGCCCACAACUUUCACUAUUCCUCCAGAAGGCUACUUACUUAUUAGUGUAAGAUUCUGUGAGCUUUGUAGCUUUUUUAUUCCAAGUUUUUUUGUUUCUUAUUUUUUCCACCAUUUCUAUUCAAAAGACUCUUUGAGUUACAAUUGAGGCUUCGCAUGUGCAGGGUGAAGGAAAUGUGUGCUUGGGAAUACUUAAUGGAAUGGAAAUUCACCAUGGCUCAACAAUUAUAAUAGGAGGUACAGAUCGGCUCGAUCUUCUUUGUGCUAUACAUCAUGACUGAAUUUAUCUGAAUAUCAAUUUGCAUUAACUUUGACCGUAUCGGAAUUUGUAGAUGUUUCUUUGCGUGGGAAGUUGGUCGUAUAUGAUAAUGUGCGGAACAAAAUCGGAUGGGCUCGCUCGGACUGUGCCAAACCACAAAAAACGAGCAGCUUUCCUUUCUUCUUCUGAGGUAAAAUUGUACCGAUAGAAACGAUAGUAAUUACUGUUAAAUGCGACGGAUCAUCGAGGGCUUACUCUGCUUGGUCACGACCUUUGCUGUUGGGUCUUUCUGGAAUAGAGGCAGGUAGGAUGCAUUCAACCACCUCAGGUUCGGAUUUGCGCAGAUUCAAUUUGUUGUACAGUAUGCAAGCAGAAAUCAGAACAAAAUGUCUCGAUGGUUCAAACUGUUUUUGUCUUAGUUUGGUGUGUUGUAUAUAAUAGCUACCGAUGAAUAUAGAAUACUCUGCUUCAGUACGAGGGGCAUGAUAAUUAUGUCAUAUAUUUUAAAGUCAACUGGGUGGGCAUUAAUCUGGUCUAAACUUCCUAUUUACAUUUAGUUGUAGUUUACAGAGCACUGGGCCUGUGUGAUAAUAAAGAGGAUUCACCAAUACGCGUGACCGUCCACCAGAAGAGUAACAUCUCAACUAAUUGUGCCAACAAUUGGAGACAUCUUACCUGAUUAGUUAGGAGCAUAUCUUCACACCUACAGAAGUAAUAAAUUCUCCGUACCUUAUGAAUCAAAUGCUUAUUUGAUUGUAGAAAAUUCAAACAAGCAAUCCUCUUCUGAUGCUGGGACAAGUGGGGCUCUGCAAUUGUAUAUCAGGGGGACCGAUGAAACCCACACUUUAACCGCCGCCACUACAUGAAUAAGUGCGAGCUAGCACAAGCACUUCCUUUCAGAGCGAAACCCGCACUUUAACCGCCGCCACUAUAUGAAUAAGUGCGAGCUAGCACAAGCACUUCCUUUCAGAGCGAAACCCGCACUUUAACCGCCGCCACUAUAUGAAUGAGUAAGUGCGACCUAGCACAAGCACUUCCUUUCAGACCGAAACGCUGUAACGGAAGAACACUAGCACUUUCUUUUGAAGUGGCGAUGUUUCAGAGCACAAUGCCACUUAUCGUGCAGGUUGAUGUUGACGCAUGGAGUUUGGCAUGAGCUUAGUGUCAACAGAAUGAAUCUCUGCAUUGGAGAGUAGAAACUCACCUAACAUUGUCCUCUGUGGACAACUCAAAUUGUGCCUAGGAAUCCUCUUUUGGACCCAUGGUCAGGCUCUACCACUCAUGGCCAUUGGGCCCAACUAAUCGGUCGCCACCAGACCUUUACAAUCGACAGUGUUGGACCAUAAAGAAUUCUGAAAAAUGGAUUGAACUGGGUGUUAAGAAAAUAAUUGUGUGAACAAAAGGAAUCGACCUGCUGCUGCUGAAUUAACUGUCCACUAACUGAAGAUAGUUCUAACUGGACUUAAAAUAAGAGUUAUGCAGUAUAGCUAAAGAAAAGCUGGUAAUUUUGAAGGUAAAAUCAAUAGAGUAAUCAUCUCUUACCAAAUAUAUUACCAGCCAACAAUGCUCUCGCUCCCUUCACAAGUGAGCUUUGAUGCAUAUGCCAACUUAAAGUAAAAUACAAUAAUAAUAAAAAAAAAACACUAUUUAAGCACUAAAAUAGAAAUUGUCCUUGUUCAGUUAAUGCAAUCAAUUUGAUGUGAGAUUACAAGGAUUCAAGCUAUUAGGUAUGAACAAUUGAAACCGUAGAAGAGAGAAACCAAUUACCGACAGCUCCAUGCCCACAUACAGUUCUAACAUAUCUCCAACCAAAGAAAAAAAAUAUAUUAAUUACAUUUCCUCAUAAUGAAAUUGCAUCCACCAUGCUCACGCCACGACAAAUUGGGUAGCCAUCAAUCUGCUUUCCUGUUGAAGCGGGAUCAAAUAUCACCAAGUUUCUGACAUUUUAUCAUUUAACCCACAAAAGCGACCUCCUUACAAGCUCGGACUCUUCGUGGACACGGACCUCCAUCUCCUUAAUGCAGACUUCCCAACAAAAAUUGGAUCAAAUAUCACAUGACUUUUGAAGCUUCGUAGUUCUACACACAAACCUUCUAACAAAUUCAUACUCUUCAACAUCAUGAACACACUUUCUCCUCAAUGUAGAGCACUUCAACCGACUGUACAUACUUUAUUGAGAUCGCAUCUUCCCCUUCUAUUUUCAUGUCAGCAACAGAUAAACGCACAAAGGGAUCUACAAAAUUUUCCAGAUUAAGAUCUAAUCAACUCUUCAGUCCAAUAAAUUUGCAUAUUCUGCUUAAGAGCCCAGAAGUCUUCGCUGCUGGUUCGUUCACCGGAUCCCUGAAGUUAGCUACCUUACUAAGUUCUUCGAAGGCAUCAACAAGAUUCUGAAGCCUGGCGACAAAUUCAAUCAGAAGUGAAGCAAAUGUUGCCAGCGAUAAUGCACUUGCACUCUCGUACACUUUAGAUUCUUCUUCAGCAGGCAGUACAUCUAGAUUGAAUGAUGAUCUCCUAGCAGGCCAAGAUAGUUGCUGCUUCAACAACAUGUCUGCUGUUGAAGAGGAAUCGAGUCUACUGAUUGAAUUAUGAAUGAUCGAGUUCUUUGAUGAUUGGAUCGAUGCAAGACCAAGAACCACUUCACUAUUUGAUUUGGUUGCUGGAUUUUUGUUUUCUAUUUCAAUGGAAUUGAUUCCAUCUGAUUCUUCCUUUAUUUUUCCUUCGAGAUGCUUAUUGCCACCCCAGCUUUCCCAAUUCACUAGAAGGUAUGAUUUCUGGUCUACCUUCUUUUGUAACCGUUCAGCUGCCUCAUGGACUUCUAAGAGAAUAUCUUGUGGACUUAAUUUUGUCAUCGUCUUGACUUUGUUUCCCAAAUCACGUAAUACUUUAGCACCUUCAAUACCUACUCUCCGUAGUUCAUCACUGAAAACUUGUCUGCUCUCUGGUGGUGCCUAUAGAAAAGGAUAUAAAAGAAGUUCUUAAAUGCCAAAAGUGGGGGUAGAAAGACAUGUCUAAGAAAAUAAAAAUAGUUCAAUCCAAAUAAAUAUGCACAUGAACGUCCCAAUUAACAACUGCAUAACUUCUUUACAGCUGCAUCGUAUCAAUGACGGCAACAGUGACUAUCAUGAAAAUAGCUUAACACAAGAUUAUAAGGAAGCAAGUAUUAAAUCCAAAAAAUUAGAUAAUUUGGUAUGUAUAUUACUUUGAACUCAAAAAAGAAAAGAAAAGAAAAGAAAAGAGGAGCUCUGAUCUUUUCACAAAAUGCUUUAAAGUACCAUGCAUGUCACCGUUCACAACUUACCUGCGCAAAAAAGUAAGAAAAAGAAACUUUAGACCAAACGUAACUUGAAUUAUUGCCAUACAGAUUCAAUUUUCAAUCCAAGCGAACCAAUGGCUCUGCACUCUGGCAGACAAUAUAAAUUAAAUAUGCCUCAACAGACUCAAUUUUGACUCAUACAACAAAAUACACUCCAACUGUUCUAGCCUGAAUUUGGUCUGCAUCACAUUGCUUCUCAUAUUGAGCAUGCAAUCUCCUGUCAUAUCCUAUUAAAAGAAAAAAUUCCAGUACAUCUUGGAUAACAGACCAAAAGGUUGCCUUACAAUCAUGGGAGAAAAAAAAUUACGAUAGAAGCGAAGCAAACCUGUAUUUCUGCAAGUAUGCAGCCAUGCAACGCCAUGACUGUGAAUGCGCAGUGCCUCAGAGCCCCACUAACUUUAAUAUAGUUCUUCCAGGGAUACUUUAGCAUCUUGUAAGGACCAUGUGGAGGCUCCCAAACAGCAAAACCUAACUGCAAAAAAAAAGAAAAAGGGUUCACUAACAUCCUAGACAACAAGAAAUGUCACGAUAAUUGUUUUGAAGUAAAUACACACAAGAGCAUCCUCUUUGGCAGUUGACUCAACAGCUGACCUAUACCCGCUGUACAAAGGAUCAUCAGAAGCUUGGUACGUAAGGAUUUUCGAAGGGAUCCUUUCAUACUCCAUGCAUUGAAGAUAUCCAUUAACACAGCCUGACAAAACACAAAUUAGCUGACAAUUUUACGCUAGGUUAAAAACCGGAUUAUGUUGUUCUGAUUUAAGCUACUAUGCAUCAUAAUGAUGCCUGGAAUACAUAUGGUAGACAAGAAACAAGCAUGAGAAAAGACCUUCCAGGGACUUGGCAACACCUAUGAAAUUUUUCGCUACCAAGUUGUGCAGAUCUUCUCCUGCCCAUAUUGGAUAGAUGCAGAUGUUGACUCCCAAGCAAACACAAGCACCGAGUGCAAUAAGUAAAAAGCGACUAACAGCUGUAUGGAGAAAUUCUUUUGUCCUGUAUCCCGAGACCAUAAUGAAGCAAAACGUGAGCAGGAAAACUCGAAAGCCAUACUCAUAAGGCUUCAUCGUCGGGUAUAACUUCAUAUAGCUUGCAAAGAAUCCUGGAAUUCAGAGCAUUAUGGUGAUGAAAGAUGCGAGAAGUAAUAUAUUACAAGUAGGGACCACUAAUGAAAAAGAAUAAAAGGAGCAAGGUUUUUAUUAAAUGGUAUCAUACCCACAAUGAAAAUGCUAAUCAUAAGAAAAACUUCUUCCAACGGUCCUGUCAAUGUAGAUAAUUCAGCCACUGCUAAAGCAAGUCCUCCAGCAGUCAAUGUUCCUAAACCCCGAUUAAAUCCUUUGCUUAAAGUUGCACCUGUAUGACAGCAAUGUCGAGAUUAGGAGGCAUUAUCAUGACAAACUUGCACUGUAUAGUUAAGAAAUGAAUAUUAUAAACUAUGGUUUUGAUUUUCCAUGUAGUUUGUAGAGAUCAUUACUGUCAAUAAAAACUUGAUACCACUUUUGCUCUUUUCACAGCCAAUUUAAAGCCAAUCGUUAGCUCUAGAAAGAAAAUUGGGUCCAUCAUACUUGGAUGGUUUGGAAAAACAACCAAACAAGCAAAUUUAACAGAGCACCAUCCUUCUCCUUGUAGUAGAUGAUUUUUGAUGUUUCAAAUCUGUUAUACACCAAAGAGGGUCAGUAUUCAGCAGGUAAUUCAGAACAGGUCCCUAAACUUUUUUAUUCUUUUUUGUAUUAAUUUUACCCCCAAAAUAACAGAUUGUCUUCACAAUCUAUGUAACAUAAUAUUCCGUAGAUUAACUAAAUAUCCAUUACUUAAUGGAAUAUUUUAUGAUUCUUUUUAACAGCAACUUCAAAUUUGAUCAAAGCUAAUUAAAAAAAAAACUUGUUAGUUGGGGGUUUGAGAUCCAAAAAAAGAAAAAAAAUUAGGGACCUAUUUCCAA
rnacentral:lncRNA from 1 species